UUACACUUCCCCAAAAGACUCAAGCUGUCUGACAGGGCUCUGGAUGGCACCUCCUCCUAGGAGGCUGCUUGAAGUCAGGAGAAGGAAUGACUACUACUGCAGAUGAGUGCUCCAUGCUUCAAUGUCAACUUCAGAAUUUUGGAUUUCCCUGAAUCAGUUGAGGGAGGGCAAAUAGCCCCUUUACUUAUUUAGCUGGUAGCUUGUUUAUUUACUUAACAAAUACAGUACAGCAUUACUACAUAUAGAUACUUUCAAGUGCUUUAUGAAUAUGAACUCAUUUAAUUCUCGAAAUUGUAUGAGGCAGUGCUAUUUUUAUAUCCAAUUCUUAGAUGAGUAAAGUGAGGCACAGACAGGCAGAAUACUAUGCCAAAAGUUAGGCUCCUGGGAGGUGAUAGAGACAGUAUUCAAUCCCAGGCAGUUUGUCCAGAUUUCACGCUUUCAACCAUUAGCAAUUGAUUUAUUUAUUAUCCUCUGUUGGGAAAAUAACAGCAGUGUCAGAAAUUAUCCCCCAUUCUGCAGCGAAUUUCAUACCAGCUACAUUUCACUUAAUCCUUACAACAAUUCUGUGUGAUGGGGGAUUCUCAUCUUCAAUUUAUAGAUGAGGAAAUAAGCUCAACGGCUCAUCCAAGGUUAUAUAGGCAGAGGGGCAGAGCCAGUCAAACACAGGUUGUCUAAUGCCAGUCAAGGGUUCUUUAUACCACAUUGUCAGUUAGUAGAAAGGUCUAGGGGAAGUAAGUGAGGAGAUUGCAAAAUCAUCUUAAAAAAAAAAAAAAAGAAAAAUCAUGAUUCAGACCUGCCUGACUUGCUGACUACACAUCAGCUUUCAUAACAUAUCACAAUCAGCCUCACAGUGGAAAAUGAGUCAAUUUCUAUAUACUGUGGCUUUCUCAAAAACCUCUCAAGGGAACUGUAAGAAUUUGCUGAAUUCAUAUUGCAAUUCAGCCCAUUAUAAGAACUGUAAAGCAAUUAGACUCAGAACCUGAAACUGCAUAUAGCUCAUCAGCUUGGGAAGCAGAGAUGGGUACAUUAUCUAGUUAAGUACCUCCAGUUACUCAUCACUGUGUUAUCUGUAACUUCAGAACAUCAGUGAAACAAAAACUGCACAAUUUCAUAGUUUUCCAUUGUAUACAGAAAUUUGCUAAGAAAGACUAAUUGUGAUGAGAACAGAUCAAGAAUAGUUCAACUAUUUGAAAUAAGUUUGAUGGAAUUAAAAUCAUUUCUUACAUUAAUCAGAUUUCUUAUAAAACUAUUAUCUUGAUAGCAUUGAAAAACAAGUUUAUAGUAUUAAAGUGUAAGCAUUUCCAUAUCCUUUUCUUAUUUUUAUUCAAUGUAGAUGACUCAAGAUUUUCAGUAUCAAAAUAGUCUUAUCAUGCUUGUUCUGAACUGGGUUUUCAUAUUGUAAUAUCUUGUUCCUGUUCCCUUUGCAGUCUCCAAAUUUGUUUUCAAUGCCAAAAGAAGUACUUGGUGGAAUGGGUAAACGUGGUCAUAUUUUACAUUAGCUAAAUAAUUAUGAAUUUAAAAAUCAUUAAAUUGUAUCUAUAACCUGUGUAAAGAACAAUAUUCCUACUUUGGGAACUGUAUUAUAAAGAUAAUAAAGAACAUACCAUUAUGAAUGAUACUUAAAGGUGUUCUAACUGAAGGCUAAAAAUAGAUACCUAGAGGUUUCUCAACAAAAUACGAAGAAAAAUUGGGUACUUGGGAUUGGCAGAAACACUGAGAAAACCAGCUUCGGCAAAAAUAUAAACUAUACUGAAAAGACAAUAAUGAGCUCAUGAAAACAGAAAAAAAGGAUGCAGCUGGGACUCAAAACAAACUGAUGCUAGACUCAAACACCUGGAUUCACCCCCCUUGCUCUGUCUCUCUCUGUGCAUAUUCUCCAUUAACCUCUCCACAGCAGAAUGAUGUGCUCCACUUCCCAAAGGUCGUGAUGGAAAAUUGCCACUACAAACUGCCCCCAAGUGUAUAUGUGAUAUAGUUUGGCUGUGUCCCCACAUAAAUCUCAUCUUGAAUUGUAGCUCCCAUAAUUCCCACAUGUUGUGGGAUGGACCUGGUGGGAGGUAAUUGAAUGAUGGCAGCAGUUUCCCCCAUCUUCCCCCAUUCACUACCACUCUUGGUAGUGAAUAAGUCAUACAGGACCUGAUGGUUUUACAAGGGGUUCCCCCUUUCGCUUGGCUCUGGUUCUUGUUCUUUCUUGUCUGCCACUGUGUAAGAUGUGCCUUUUGCCUUCCACCAUGAUUGUGAGGCCUCCCAGCCAUGUGGAACUAAGUCCAUUAAACCUCAUUUUCUUUGUAAAUUACCCAGUCUCGGGUAUGUCUUUAUCAGCAAUGUGAAAAUGGACUAAUACAAUAUGUUCUCUGUUUACAAGAGUAGUCACACUAGGGUGAAAUCUUUGAUCCCAGAGCUAUAGCCACCUGGACCCCAACGUAGCAGCUUCCUUGAAUCAAUGGGGAUUGAGGAAGAGCUGUUUCCAAGAUGGCAACACAAAAGGUAACGUGACAACCUGAAGGGCAAGGAAAUAUACAUUCCCUCGAGAACAACCAGAAUGGGAUUCUUGAAUGCCACCAGGACUUUUUCUCCAGCUUUUUCAGUUCUGGAGGCCAGAAGUCUGAGAUCAAUGUGUUGGCAGGGCCAUGCUCCCUCUGAAGGCACUGGGGAAGGAUCUAUUUCUGGCCUGUCUCUCUGAGCUUCUGAUAGUUCCUUGGCUUGUUGCAACAUAAAUAACUCCAUUCCUCACAUGGUAAGGCAUUUUCUGUGUCCAAAUUUCCCCUUUAUAUUAAAAAAAUUUUUUUCACUGAAACUUCAGGCUUUGUUGAAUUCCGUUGUUUUUUCCCGUAGUUUUAUU
rnacentral:lncRNA from 1 species